UUUUGUUAUUACAGAUGUCAAUCAUGUCAACCUUGGACAGACAGCUCACUAAAUACUGUAGAGUGAUGAUAGAUGGACACUAUUUAGUUGAACCAUAAAAAAAGGGGAAACCCAUCCUAGCAGAUACAGAUCUGAUAAAGAUGACAGAAACUACAUAUAUACAUGGCAGUCAUAGGAAACAUACUUCAAACUAUGGAUAUGUAAUAGAAGAACAGACAUUAUGCAUAUAUUAUCAAUUGGAAGGGAUGUGUCAAUCACCAACUUUAUAUUGUGUUGUAAACAUUUAAUUAACCUGCUGAAUUUCUUAAACUUUUUCCUAUGAUAUUUUCAAUAAACCAGUUUUCAUUCUA